UCAGCCCAUACAGCCAUUGUUUUCAGUAAUAUUUUCUUAUAUUAUUUUUUUUCUAAUAAUUGUCUUCAGAAGUUACAAAUCUUGAUCUGUGGUUUUUUUUAUUUUUGAAACAUGUCACAAAGUACAUUGAUUUGUUGACUUACGUUUGUCAAUGUCAGUCAGUAAUUCUAUUUAUUUUUUCAAAACCUAACCUAUUAACACCGAAUAAAAUGAAGUAACAAUUUUUAAUUUUCUGAUCCUUUGUAACUAGUUCUUUCUAUUUUAGAACCAUGGGCGAGUUAAUAAAAAAAAAUACGGAUUGGGAUUCUAAUAAGGGCUUACGAGAGCCUAUAAAGAAUAUAGAGGACAAAUGGAAACUUGUUCCAUCAUUUUUGCAAGUAAAAGGAUUAGUGAAACAACAUAUUGACUCAUUCAAUUAUUUCAUAAAUGUGGAAAUAAAAAAAAUUGUGCAGGCCAAUGAAAAAGUGUUUUGUGAUGCAGACCCAUUAUUUUACAUUAAAUAUCUGAAUGCAUAUGUUGGUAAGCCAGAUCUUGAAGAAGGUUUUAAUGUAACAAAACCAACUACGCCCCAUGAAUGUCGGCUAAGAGAUAUGACUUAUUCAGCUCCUAUUACUGUUGAUAUAGAGUAUAUCAGAGGUAAUCAACGUGUAAUAAAAAUAAACAAUUGAUUGGACGGAUGCCUCUGAUGUUAAGAUCAUCAAAUUGUGUACUAACGAAUAAAGGUGAUUUUGAAUUGGCACAGUUAAAUGAGUGUCCCCAUGACCCUGGUGGUUACUUCAUUAUUAGAGGACAAGAAAAAGUAAUUUUAAUUCAGGAACAAUUAUCCAGAAAUCGUAUGAUUGUUGAUGAAUUUAAGGGCUCCAUCCAGUGUCAAGUCACUAGUUCUACCCACGAGAAGAAAACUAGAACAAAUGUUAUAGUCAAAAAUGGAAAAUAUGUUCUACGUCAUAAUGCUCUCUCUGAUGUAAGUUUUUAAGGUUUCAGUUAAUUUGCUUUUAAUUUUAUGAAUUAAUAAACAGUAUUUUAUAGGUAUAUGAAAUGAAAUAU